UUUUAUGGAGAGUUUGAUCCUGGCUCAGGAUGAACGCUGGCGGCGUGCCUAAUACAUGCAAGUCGAGCGAACGGACGAGAAGCUUGCUUCUCUGAUGUUAGCGGCGGACGGGUGAGUAACACGUGGAUAACCUACCUAUAAGACUGGGAUAACUUCGGGAAACCGUAGCUAAUACCGGAUAAUAUUUUGAACCGCAUGGGUCAAAAGUGAAAGACGGUCUUG
rnacentral:rRNA from 1 species